rnacentral:rRNA from 1 species
UACGUAGGGUGCGAGCGUUAAUCGGAAUUACUGGGCGUAAAGCGUGCGCAGGCGGGCUUUUAAGCCAGACGUGAAAUCCCCGGGCUUAACCUGGGAAUGGCGCUUGGGACUGGAAGUCUGGAGUGCGGCAGAGGAGACUGGAAUUCCUGGUGUAGCAGUGAAAUGCGUAGAGAUCCGGAGGAACCCCAGAGGCGAAGGCGGCGCUCUGGCUCGCAACUGACGCUCAGACACGACAGCAUGGGGAGCGAACGGG